CUUAACCUCGGAAUUGCAGUCGAAACUGUUGUGACUCGAGUCCGGUAGAGGAGAAUGGAAUUCCCGGUGUAGCGGUGAAAUGCGCAGAUAUCGGGAGGAACACCAGUAGCGAAGGCGGUUCUCUGGGCCGGCACUGACGCUGAGGAGCGAAAGCGUGGGGAGCGAACAGGAUUAGAUACCCUGGUAGUCCACGCCGUAAACGUUGGAUACUAGGUGUGGCGGUUCGUACCAACGGCUGCCGUGCCGAAGCUAACGCAUUAAGUAUCCCGCCUGGGGAGUACGGCCGCAAGGCUAAAACUCAAAGGAAUUGACGGGUCCCCGCACAAGCGGCGGAGCAUGCGGCUUAAUUCGAUGCAACCCGAAGAACCUUACCUGGGUUUGACAUCACGGGAAAAGCUGUGGAAACACAGUGUCCAUUAGGGCCC
rnacentral:rRNA from 1 species